rnacentral:rRNA from 1 species
AAAAACGAAAGUUGACGUAUAAGGCCUGACACCUGCCCGGUGCUGGAAGGUUAAGAGGGGAUGUUAGCGCAAGCGAAGCAUUGAAUCGAAGCCCCAGUAAACGGCGGCCGUAACUAUAACGGUCCUAAGGUAGCGAAAUUCCUUGUCGGGUAAGUUCCGACCUGCACGAAUGGCGUAACGAUGGCCACACUGUCUCCUCCAGAGACUCAGCGAAGUUGAAAUGUUUGUGAUGAUGCAAUCUCCCCGCGGAAAGACGGAAAGACCCCAUGAACCUUUACUGUAGCUUUACAUUGGACUUUGAACAGAUCUGUGUAGGAUAGGUGGGAGGCUUUGAAGUAAGGUCGCUAGAUCUUAUGGAGCCGACGUUGAAAUACCACCCUGGUGUGUUUGAGGUUCUAACCUUGGCCCGUGAUCCGGGUUGGGGACAGUGUAUGGUGGGCAGUUUGACUGGGGCGGUCUCCUCCCAAAGUGUAACGGAGGAGUUCGAAGGUACGCUAGUUACGGUCGGAAAUCGUGACGAUAGUGCAUUGGCAUAAGCGUGCUUGACUGCGAGACUGACAAGUCGAGCAGGUACGAAAGUAGGACAAAGUGAUCCGGUGGUUCUGUAUGGAAGGGCCAUCGCUCAACGGAUAAAAGGUACUCCGGGGAUAACAGGCUGAUACCGCCCAAGAGUUCAUAUCGACGGCGGUGUUUGGCACCUCGAUGUCGGCUCAUCUCAUCCUGGGGCUGUAGCCGGUCCCAAGGGUAUGGCUGUUCGCCAUUUAAAGAGGUACGUGAGCUGGGUUUAAAACGUCGUGAGACAGUUUGGUCCCUAUCUUCCGUGGGCGCUGCAAGAUUGAGAGAGCCUGCUCCUAGUACGAGAGGACCGGAGUGGACGCACCUCUGGUGUAUCGGUUGUCACGCCAGUGGCAUUGCCGAGUAGCUAAGUGCGGAAGAGAUAACCGCUGAAAGCAUCUAAGCGGGAAACUCGUCUCAAGAUGAGUCUUGCCGGGGCCUUGAGCCCCCUGAAGGGUCGUUCGAGACCAGGACGUUGAUAGGCUGGGUGUGGAAGCGCAGUAAUGCGUUAAG